rnacentral:rRNA from 1 species
UUAUGGACACAAACCUCCUUCUCUAAGCCUGAUCUCGUCAGGUCUCAGAGGCAGGACUGGGUCUGGUUAGGGCUUGGAUGGGAGGCCAUUGGAAUACCAGGUGCCACAGU